AGAGUUUGAUCCUGGCUCAGGACGAACGCUGGCGGCGCGCUUAACACAUGCAAGUCGAGCGAGAACCAGGGCUUCGGCCCUGGGGACAGCGGCGAACGGGUGAGUAACACGUGGAUAACCUGCCCUCGGCACCGGGAUAGCCCGAGGAAACUCGGAUUAAUACCGGAUAGCCUUUCCGACUCUCGGGUCGGUUCGAAAAGGUAGCUUCGGCCUCUGGCCGAGGAUGGGUCCGCGGCGGAUUAGCUUGUUGGUGGGGUAACGGCCUACCAAGGCUCCGAUCCGUAGCUGGUCUGAGAGGACGAUCAGCCACACUGGGACUGAGACACGGCCCAGACUCCUACGGGAGGCAGCAGUGGGGAAUCUUGCGCAAUGGGCGAAAGCCUGACGCAGCGACGCCGCGUGAGGGAAGAAGGCCUUCGGGUUGUAAACCUCUUUCAGGAGGGACGAAGCUACUCGGGUGAAUAGCCCAGAGGGGACG
rnacentral:rRNA from 1 species